UUCACCUGUGAAUAUCUGAAUAUCUGGAGCAGGUAUUUGUCUCCCCAAGUUAUCUCAGCAGAGUGAGGGAGCAGCGCUCUCUGCUAGAGGUCCAGGAGGACAGGCGUUAGCAGCAUGGUCUGCCUGGUCCUGUCUUCUCACAGGCUAAAGGGGCUCUUUUUGCUAAAAUAUAUGCUGACUCUGAAGCUGAAAUUCCCAAAUUUUAUACCCAGGGGCCAGCCAAAUUUCCAUCUGAUGUAAAUUGAAUUUCUCAAGCAGGCUGAGGCUGCCUGCAGGGGGGGGUUGGCCAGCUCAGCAGCAGGCCCUGAGAGCAUCACCCACAGCAGGGCUCCAGGGCCUGGUGACUUCAGCUGCCACUCAGGUCUGUGUCACAAGACACAUCAAAAUCCACUGCACACGUGGUGUGAACCUGGGGAAGCACUGUCAUGUUUUCUGGAGUGGGCUGUGACUCAGGUUCCCAUGGAAAACCCUUGCAUGCAGUUGUUUCCCUUCACAUGCAGUGGUUACUCAUUGGAAGAAAGGUCACUUUAGCUCCAGCCUGCCAGCUUGUUAUCUCUGUCUCACUAGGAUGCUAAAUGGAAUUUAGGCAAGGAAAAGAUCCAAAAUUUCAGGUUCUGAAGGGAACUUUGCAUGCACUGAGGAAAUCAGUUUAAUAUCUGGCUGUUCUGCAAAAGCAAUGCACGUGAGUGAGCGUGUGUGCCUGAGACAGGGGCAGGCUUUAGGAACAGCCAUGCACACAGGAGUGGAGGAGCCUUCACAUGGGAAACCUCUCACUGCACCAACCUGCAGUGGGUCAGCAUCUCUGGAAGAGGUUCUCCUUCAAUGGAAAUGCUCCAGCAGAUGGAUAAUGCAUAAUUGGGAACGGUCCUUGUGGAAUACAGAAGAUUUUCUGGGCCUUGUUUGCAUCACAGAGCUUUUAUCAGCCAGCAGAGCAAAGACAGAGAGACCUGGGCUCGAGUAGCCGUGGGAAUAUAGAAUGCAAAGGCCACACUUGUCCCCUGAGCACCUCAAACUCACCAUGGCAUGAGUGCCCUCAGCUGAAAGGGCUCUCACUCUAAGGUCACCUGCACAGCAUCCCAGCACUGAAAACAAGGCUUCUGCCACCAGUCAGGACACAAAGCAGCCUCAUUUGUCACAACCUGCAAGUCCUGUUCAUUGGAAAAUCAAAACAGGUGACUUUUUCACCGCUCACAGGAUGGCAGCUGAAAGUUUUGCACAAAUUUCUGCGUUCUUUUCCAAGCAAUGCUCACUCACUCUCUUCCAGUGGUGCCUCAUUCCUGGGCCAGAAAGUUUCCAGUGUUUGACCUGAUGGCUCCAUUCAGAAUAUCAGUCUCAUCUUGAAUUAAUAAGUCUGGGUGACAGUGGAUAGGCAGGAAAACACACAUAAUUUUGUAUCUCCCUAGAAAACUAAGAAGUGACAGUGUGAAACAGGGGCUAUUAAUAUGUGUGCAGCUCUUUUACAAUUUACUGCUCUUCAUCUGUGAAAUAAAAUGUAAAGCCUCUACUUUAGAGCACAUAGAGUUACUGAUUUUUAAUGUAUAGCCCAAAUAUGCUACAUAUACCCACUGGAAUGGUUUAGCUGCUACUGGAUUGCAGUUAUCACUUGUAAAAAAAAAAAAAAAGAAAAUUCUUCAGCAGUAAAAGUGUCAUGAGAUGUACACGGCUGGAACUUUCCAAACCAUGUAAUUUAGCCUUUCUGAGGGAGUUAUUUCUGAUUCUGUCAUGUAUGAAUGUUUUGGGCUCUCUCACAAGAAUUGCAGAAACAUGUUAUAUUAGGGGAGAAGUCUGGUAUAAAUCACACUUGUUCAGCCAGACAUCAGUCACAGUGCAGGAAAAAAUGAAAGCUUCUUUCGUUCUCAUGGCUGACCCCUCCAACACAGUAUUGUCCCCACUAAUGAGCUGAACAUCUUUGCUGAUUUGUUACAUGUAGCAAAUAUAGAAGCAAUGAAACCCAUCUGUGUAAUUUAUUCAUUGAUUUGGACUUGAAGCCAAGUGUGCUCUAAGUAGCUCUUGUCUGGGUUCAUGUGUGUGAGAGAGAAUAGCUCAUCAAAAACAAAAAGUCUUAAACUUACCUGCUUGAAAUAUUCAUGAAUAGUGGAAAAUGCCCUGGAUCUCCUCCUGUGCAACCCAGCAGUCAUUUCAGAAAUGGUUUAGUGUUAAGUAAGGACUGCUGGUUUCAGCCCUGUAUUUGCAGUAAGAUCAAAAGAUCAUUUUUUAGGGAGGUCUCCUGAUAAUCCUUUCCAUUUUAAAAAUAAACAAAUAAAAAUAUCAGGGAAAGACAGAAGGCUGAAAUGAAAUAAAGCAAGCUCAAACGCACUUUAUAUCCCCUCCUUAAUGCUGAAAAUAUACACUGUGGUGGUAGUUUUGUGCAUCUCCUAUGAUUUCAACUUCCUGUAAAACAGUUUUAAUUUGGGGGAGUGGGGUUCACUGUUUUUACCCUGAGCUCUUCAAAACACAGCUGAUUCCAAGUCACCUGUUAAAAAUCUGUUUUCUUUUAAGCUACCCAAGGGCCUAUCUUUUUUAUUUCAGAGACAAAGGAAUGUUGUGAAGAAAUUGGUUUUAAACACUUGGUUUCAGCGUGUUUAGGUUUCUAUUUCACAUCUCCAGCCACUGUGGAUAUUUGGUUCGGGGUGCAGAGGUUGUAUAAAGCCUUCCACACAAACAUUCCCACCUGCACAAGCAGCUCUUUCUGUGCUCUGUUGUGAAGGACAGAGCGAGGUUUAUUGAGCAAAGUUUCUGGAGGGGUGAAGGUUUGCAUGCACAUCCCGAACUUUCCCAUCACACAGCUGCCUUCUGGAUGGGAAAUGCAAAGGCAGAGGUGCUGAACGGUGCUCCUGCUCUGCAGACACCCUCUGGUUCAUAACUCCAGCAGUCUGAUGCCAAACCUCAUGGGAUCCAAAUGAAGGAAAGGAAGAAAAAGAUAAAUUCGAAAAAGAAGGCAGAACAGAUUAAACCACGGAGGAGAUAUUACACCCAGCAAAUGGGGUAACAGUCUGAUUGAACACAGACAGGGUUUGCUCAGAAACCCUUCUUUCUUUACAAGUGGGACAUUAACAAGCUGACCAGGGCUGAGGUAAGUCAGGCUUUUUCUCCGUCCUGUAGAUUUUUUUGGUUUAUUUUUUUUCUCCCCUGACUGAGUGCUGGUGGCAACAGAUUAACAGGUCACUGGACUGGCUCUGAGAAUUGCUGCCACUUACCUUUCCUCUUCUUGUCGCUCUGUGGUCUAAUGGCAUCAUUUACCAUGCGCUUCCCUCCCCGCAGCCCGGUGACACCCAGAGAACAGUGAUCGAUGGCUAAUUCUGCCUGCGUGCGUCCAGGGGGGACAGAGGCUCAUCAUUUCAGGGGUAAACGUCCUUUCCCCUUCCUUUGACCUUCUUCCCCAUGCAGGCAGGGUGAGCAGGAGCCUGCAGGGGCAGCUUGCUGGGGGGCACGGAGGUGUCGGGCCCUCCUGCCAUCCCCCCUGCCCAGCCAGAGCCGCGGGGCCCCGGCCCGGCCCGCACCGGCCCCGAACCUGCGAGCCCGAGCCUCAGACAGCAACAUCUGAAUCAACACAGCAUCGUUUACUCACAGAGCCGACAGCCCUUCCACUCGAACUGGUUCAAAUUAGCCGACGCCACAUUCUUUUCCUUCUGUGUGUUUGGUUUUCUGCCUUUUUUUCUUUUUUUCUUUUUUCCCCCUUUACAUAAGGAUAUAUAAUUGCAGGAUUUCACCCAGCAGAGUGCGAAACAGCCCAGCGGAGGAGAGGGAGGAGCGGCGGGCACGGCUGGAGCGGUGAGAGAGGGAGAUGCGCGCCCGGGAGAUGCGCGCCCGCGGGAGAUGCGCGCCCGGGAGAUGCGCGCCCGCGGGAAGCUGCGGAGCGCUCCGCGGGUGCGGGUCCCGCCCGGGCUGGGCAGUGUUUCUCAGCCCUGGCUUUCUCGCUGGAACUUACCUUCCGGACACGUGCAAAUGGAAAAGCGGGGACGCUAAAAUCAAAUUACAGACAUGUAUAAAGACAGAGCACUUCGCUGGCAGCAGGAAUGAUUAAACGGAGCAGCUCGGGAAACCUCCUGUAUGAAUAUUUCAUGUGAAAUGAUGCGAUCCCCCCCAAGGUACAAGAGCCCUCCUUAAUUAAACUGGUGUAAACGUUGCCUUUUACUCCUUUUUUAUUUAAGUUACGGGGAGGAGCGGGCAGAUUGGCCGAGUUUUUACCCUCAUACCCGAAAAAGAAGGAGCAGCCCCUUUCCACGGGAGGGGGCACCUGGCCGGGGCUGCAGGUCCCGCUGCGCUGGGCGCAUCUGCGGGGCCGGGAGCGGGGACAGGGACUCUGGAGGGACACGGGAGUCCCUGGCUGGAACGGGCGAAGCUUAAGAGAUGGUACAGGAGGGCAGGGACGAGCUCUGCGCCCGUAUUUGCCGGCCCGCAUCUCUAUCCUUUCCCGCCGUGGCCCCAACAAGGCGGGGACGAGAGAGGGGUGUUGGCCGCUGUCAGCCCCGUCUGCUGCCGCCCAGCUCAGGCCACCCCUCGCCCACCUCGGACCCUCGUGUCAGGGUGGAAAAGGAACCAGAGCGGCUCUUCCAGGCAGGCACCCCCCAGACGAGCUCCUGCCCACCGACGGACGGGGCGGGGGAGGCUCGAUUGGGGGGCUGCGCCCCACUCCCGGCAGCGGCAGCGCGGCUGGGGGGGGUCCCUGCCCGGGCACCCGGGGCUGAGGCUCCGGGAACCUCCAUGUGCUGCUCGAGGUUUCCAUGGCGAUGAGCGGGGUGGCAGCGGGAAGGUGGUCCCUGUCACACAGGACACGGCUGCCCACCCCGGGCAGCCCGCGCCCUCCCCUCCUGCCUUUGCAAGGCCGGGAUCUGGCGCUUGGGCAGGGGAAGCGCCCGGUGGGGUGAGGGAAAAGGUCCCGGCAGAGGGACCGUUCUGCCCGCUCUGCCCGGCCAUGCCCUAGGCAGAGGACACUGGUGGCACUGGUGACACUGGUGGCACUGGUGGCACUGGUGGCACUGCUCCCCGCCCGCCAGGACCCUCCGCUUUGCCGAACGGGGCAACCUCUCAGGGUUUCGCCACUAGUCUUCUCAAUAAUGGGAAGAAAGCGGAUUUCCCACAGCCCUUCACCCUCCUAAAGACAAAUUAGCGUGAAUUUCCAAGUCAGUCCGACGCUGAACUCACGACCCUUCCCCAGACUCCUGACAAUGUCCCUGCAACCAUUUCAUUCAUACCCACACUGGGACCUUGGCUUCUCCUUCCUUCCUUCCUUCCUUCCUUCCUUCCUUCCUUCCUUCCUUCCUUCCUUCCUUCCUUCCUUCCUUCCUUCCUUCCUUCCUUCCUUCCUUCCUUCCUUCCUUCCUUGCUUCCUUCCUUCCUUCCUCCCUCCCUCCCUCCCUCCCUUCCUUCCUCUCUCUUUCCACCAUUUCUCACGCACAUUUUUUCAUCGUUAUUUAUUUUUUUCUCUUUUUCUUUUCCUCUCUGUUUCUUUGCAGAUUUUAGUCAGUGCUGGCUUUCUAUUAUUUUGCAUUCCCAGGGAAUUUCAAUAAAACAACGUUAUUGUUAUAAAAAUACCUUUUCGGGGUUUAUUUGAGCAGCCUUUACUCUUCCAAAUCACAUCUUCCCCUUUCCUCCCUUGUCCUUGAUUCUGAGCAGAUAUUUGGCAGCCCACGGAGCAGCAGGUGAGGUGUGAGCUUACAGACCGCUACAAAAAGCCAAGGUGCUAACCGGGACGAGGAGGGUGACACAGGAGAUAACUCUCUGAAAAAGGGGUUUUAAAUCAUAUUUGGAUCCUAAACAUCCCAUCACAGCAAACGCCUCCUCUCGACACAUGCAUGCCAAAUAAAAUAGCCGUGAUCGCGUGGAUUAUAAAUGAGAUCACAGAAGUUUAUCUGGGAAUAUCUCGGUCUCGCAACCCACAAGAAUGCACUUUCUUCCCUGCCUCUGAUACCCACUUGCUGAUCUAAAGAUAAAAUAACAGCCGUGCUUGUAUUCUCCGGCCUUGUGGAGAAAGUCAGGACUCCGCGUGUUCUGUGAACACAGCAAAACCACAAAAAGGUUGUUCAAAUACUGAUAAAGCUGUGAGGGUAACUCCACAAAAAACAGCGGAAUCCAGCAGCUUCUCUCGAGUCAGGCUUGGAUCCGCUGCUGCUUCCAGACGUUCGGGACUUGACAGAUGAGUUUCCACACCUUAUCUAAGUUUAUUUGUGUCCAGGUCACCAACACUCAUUCAGACAACACUUUCACCGUGGGAAAUUGCUUCGAAUUCUUAAUUCCGUUUUUGUUUUUUGUUUUGGUUUGGGUUUUUUUCUUUUUAUGUAAAUUCCUUUUAAAAUAAAAAACAUUAUUAUAUAGAGGGGAAAAAUAAGCGGCUGGAGCCGAGCAUUUCUGUUCUUCUGAACUGUUCUUUUCCUGACUGGAAAUCCCUGAAACUUUCCAGAGCUCCGUGUGUCAGGCGGGAGAGAGCGGAGAAAGGGGAUACUACCAGUUUGUCCUUUCCGUUAUAGGUAAAGGACUUUUUAAAAGGUAAUUCCAAGCAGGAGUCUGGGUAAGAACAUUGUUCCCCGUGGAGCGGCUUUCUGCCCCCUUCCAGCCCCCAGGGAAGGUUUUCAGGCAGUGCAGGAGGCAGGGAGAUCCCGCUCCCGCUUUAUGGGCAGGCUGUAAACGCCUGGCGGAGGUUUACUCACACUCAAACGCUUAAUUAAGAAAACAUUAAGGGUCCAGCUUAAACCAACAAAAGCCAAGCAGCUCCGAGACGGGUUCCCACUUUCCACACGGCGGCUGCGGGCCCCCUCCCCGCCCGGAGCCGCGUCCCUGCCCCGCUCCGGGUGCGGGCUGGGGCUGCCCGAGUGCCCGACUCCGCACCCUGCUCUCCCCCUGCGGGGCUGGUGCUUCUCCUCAUCCCCUUCCAGGGGGAAUCGGCACCCAAAGCCUUUCCCGCCCCUCCCCUCAGCCCAGACCCACCAAACACACUCCGGACUCGAUUUUUUGGAGCCCUCUCCGCAGAAUGCGAAGGAAACAGCCACUCUCGGGAGGGUGUCCUGGGGUCUGUCCGGGCUGGGGGUGCGGGGGUGUCCCCUCCUGUGCCCGGCCAGUCCUCACCACCCCGAGCGGAGCACCGGGGCUUUUCUACCUGUCCGGGAUAACAGGCCGGGUUUCUUCCCAUCUCCCAGGGAUGGAGCAUGAGCGAGAGGACUGCGAGAUCCUUUGCUUCCCCCAGAUCCUGCCUCUGCCUACUCCUGAUUAUUUAAUUGUCCCAAGGAAAAAAAUCCGCCAGUUUUUCCGUCUGUCCAGCCUUGGUGAAGGAAGCGGAAUUAACACGGGGGAGGAGACGUGCGGAGCACUGGCAGAAAAUCGUGGUGGUUUUUUGUUGUUGUUUUAAGACAUCAAAAAGGAAAGACAGAAAAGGAUGGACACUACCUUCCAAUACACUUUAGUUGGCUGGUGACAAAAACUCCGGGCAUGCUCUGAAUGCCUAAUUACCCCCAACAGAAAAUUCCCUAUCUAAUUUGAUAUUUGGUGCUCAGCAGAAGCUAGCCUUCGUAAAUAAUAUACAAAGUAAGAAACCUAAUCCAGCAGGCUAGAAUGUUUAAUUCAUCAUUAUGCGAGCUAAUUGGAAGGUGAUUAUAUGGUAAUUGCUCAUUAGUGGUGUAUAUUUAUCGCUGUACCUUAUGUCAAGGCCAUGGGAAUUGUGUAGAGUCUGUUCUCUCAUUUCAAGGAUCAGUUUCAGAAGCAGGAGCAAAGCGGGCGAGAUCAAGUUCUUCCUGACGUCAGGUCCAGCCGUGGGCGAUGGAGAGGGGGUCUAUAAAUGCUCUCCCGGAGCCCCCGCAGCAGCCGGGGCUCCGGCCGGGCCGUGCGGGGAGAUGGGGCUCCCGAGGCAGCGGGGCCGAGCGGCCCCACGGAGGGGACAAGGAGAAGAAGGAUGAGAGGAGGCAGAUCCCGCCUUCCCUGCUCCGGCCGGGGCAGCCACCUGCCAGGCGGGCUGAGCCCUGCGCGGUGCCCGCAGCAUCCUCCCAGCCGCGCCUGGCCGGGAGGAGGGCUCCGAGGGGGCACCGGGGGGUCCCUCACACCCGACGGGCCGCCUUCCCUGCAACAGGCGCUAAUUGCAGAAGGUCAAUUAACGGCGAGCGCGGGAAGGUGAUUAAUGGCCCUUUCUGUUUCAAGCGUGGGCCACGGGCUGGGCUUGCCCGGCUGCGAGUGUCGCACCGGGGAGAGGCUGCGAGCAGAGAGGUUACGGCUCGGGGUCAGGAGGUUCUCUAAACUCCCGCUUCCCCCUCGCAGCGGGACCCUUUGGAGGAGUAAAUCAAUGGCUGUAUUAGCUCCCAGCACUUAGGAGCCGCUGAUGGACACGGGAGCAGGGGUUGGGAGAAUCCCGCUCCAGCGGGGAAUCCGGCCCGAGCUGCUCUGCCUGUUUCCUACGGGCUGUGCGGGGGCUGGGUGCUAAUUAGGGGGGACCGCUAAUUUCCGCCGAGCCCUCACAGGUAACAGCGCGAUCCGUCAGAGGAGGAAGGCAAAUAAACAGCGUUUAAACACAACAAAGCGAGGGCUCCAAAGGCCUCCGGCCUCACCGCGGUGCAGUGGCAAAGAGAGAGCUGCGUGGGUGCGGGCUUGCGCCGCGUGGGGAGCGCAAACCCCACCGAACCACCUGGGAAAGGGUUAAAAAUCCAAGGCGGGGGGGUCAGAUCCUGGACUCGGAGCCAAGCAGCGCUGCCGAGGGUGGGGAUCCAGCGGCGGGGACCCGGGGCCGAGAGGGGCCGGGGGAGGCGAGGGGCGGGGGGGCGGGAUGCGCUGACCUUGGCUGACAGACGGAGCAAAGCCGGGGAGGAGGAACCGCACAGAGCCGGCAGCCCCGACGGGCUGCCCCGAUAUACAGACCCGGUGUGCAGCCCCGAUGUGCAGCCCCGAUGGGCAGCACCCAUGUGCAGCCCCGACGGGCAGCCCCGAUGGGCAGCCCCGGUGUCCAGCCCCGCUCCCGGGACGCUGCGGGGUGCGGGGGGUCCCCGCUUGUCCUGCAGCCCCCUGAGCAGCCCGUGGGGCCAGCGGGCCAAAUCCCCCACCGGGCACCCAGGGUCCCGCGUCCUCCGUCCCCCAGCUUUGCUUCAAAGAAGCCGUAAAAAUCCGCCCGUGUCUGCAAUUCGCCACCCCAAAUCCACGCUCCCUCCCCCACCCCUCUCAGUUAUUUAAUAUAAAAUGUAUUUUUGAACACCCGCUCGGAUAGCAUCUCGCCAAUAUUUAUAUUUCCACGUUGCCUGGCAUCCACUGUCCCACAUUAGACUCUGCCUCUCUCUCCCUCUCUCUAAUCCUGCCACUUUAAAUAGAUGAAUUAAUAAAGCAAAUGAGGGUCUAAUAAGCUGACUGUCCUGCCUAUUGAGGCAGGGGGAGAGAGACUAGAAAGUGCGCCAAAUUUGUUUGCAGUGGAUCAAGGCUAGCCGCCUUUGCUUCACUUUCUUUAUCUUAAUUCCGACUUGAAAAGAUAUAAUUAUCUAGUUUGAACAGAGCUGCUAUCAAAUCCUUCUCUAGGCAAGGCAGGGGAGAGCUGGAGUGGAUUGCAGUGUUCUGAGCCGCUUGGUGCAGCCGGAGAUAGGGAGUAAUGAAGUUGUGGAGUCCUGAGAUACAAAGGGCAUUAACCUCAUUAGCAUGAAACCUUUUCUUCUAACCAUUGUGGGACCCUUUCAGACUCCUAAUCCCCCCUAUUUUCAAAGCUGGGUUUGUAAUAAAGCUUUUAGGGUUUUUUUUCAAAGCUAAUGGCAUUCUCUGAAGAUUUUAUUGCUGUUACGCUACAUAGGACGCUUAAUUUUUUUCCCCCUCUCCCUCUCUUCCCUCACGGUUAAAAAAAAAAAAAAAAAAAAGAGAGAGAGAGAGAGAAAAGUAAAAAAAAAAAAAGUAUAUGGUUCCUGCAGAAAUAAGCCUUUUAUCAAGAUGGGAAACAAUUUCUAGAAAGGCCCGAGUCUGCUGUUCGGCCGCAAUCCGUUUAAUGUUUGCCCAUUUGCCCGGGUUUGAAGUGGGGAGCAAGGCAGCUUGGGCGAGUUCAGGGGAAAAGUGCGUCCUGCUCGGUUUCCAGAUCUGCAUCAUCAGCUGUUCGAGGAGGGAAGAAACGCGACGAGAAGUUUACCUUGGGAAUAGCUCUACUAAAUAAUUAGCCUAGGUUUAAAUGGAAGGGACUGCAUUGCGACAUGCGUCCUAACCCUGGCUGGGCCUCUCUCAUAUUUGUAGCACAAGUGAAUGGAAAGUCACUGGGGCUGUAUAAGAAGAGAUGCUAAAAAAAAAAAAUCGUUUUUUUUUUUAAAAAAAUUAAAUUUACAUAGUACCCGAUAGAGCCAACACGUGCACAGAAUGUCUAAUCUUAACUUUUCAAGGCAGUAUGUUUAACAAAGCUCGUAUUUUUGCGAUGCAUUGUAACUUCGCCUUAUCACAGUGUAAAGGGUAGUCAGAUUGUCCUAAAUUAUGUCCAACUAGCCCCCCUGGAUCCACGGAUUAAGAGAUUAAAGGAGACCACUGGGCAAUGCCUCCUCUUUCCCCUUCAUAUUCCUGGUAUGAUAAUUGCCUAAACUGAUUUGCACUUUCACAAAAGCUUGCAGGAUUCUUUGUAGCUCGAACAGAGCAGACGAGGUUUCUCUAUCAAUGGAAAUAAAACUGAUUAAUGCAGUCUAUCAGGCUAAGGAGCAAAUGAAGCAUGAAAAAACAACUGUGUACCCCCAGAAAACCAGUUAGUUUCCUCAAGGACCCAGAGCAACAUUUUUUUCUUUUCCCUUUUUUUUUUUUUUUUUUUUCUUUCCCCCACGUCUUCAACGCCAGAGUUUCACUCUGCGCCCAGGAUCGCUCCCUGAGAGCGGCAGGGACAGCAGCAGCUGGGGCGCAGCCUCUGCUCGCAGGACCUGUCCCUCCUCUCACCGACCCAGACACGGGAUAGACAAGACGGGGGAAAAGCCCCCAAAUAUCCCCAAAUCCUCUCUAGCUAAAUAAAACACCUAUUUUUUUGCCGAGGAAAGGCUCUCUCAGCGGAGCGCGGCUGCUGCCGACCAGUUUCACCAGCACGAACCAGUCCGGACUCCAGUUUCUAAGCAGGGAAGGGGCUGGGUUUCUCCUCGAGGUUUUUGUUUGGUUGGUUGGUUCUGUUUCGGGGGGUUUUAGGUAUUUCUAUACAGCCAGUGCGCCUCUGCGGCUUGUUUUUAGAGGUCUAUUUGGCAGGCAGCAAAUAUAUUAAGAAAAACGCCCCUGUGGCCGCAGGAAUGCGCGGCGCGGCCGCGGGGGUUCAGCAGCUAAAAACAAGAUGUGGGGGGAAACCAUCGGUUUCCGAAAAAUUUGGGGGUGAAGGGGAAAAGAUGUUGCUUAAAAAAUUUAGGGCAUAUUGAUAAAUCUUUAUUGACAAAAUAUUGACAAUGACAUACUUCUUGGAAGUAUAUAGUGUGUUAGAAUUCUAACAAAUUAAACACAAAACACAAAAAUAUUUACAUUCUGGUAUAGGAGACAUGAAGGAAACAUUUGUCACUUUUUUUUUUUUUUUUUUUUUUUUUUUUUAGUAGCUCUAUGAUCUCGGAAUAUUAUAAGGUCAGUGCUUGAAAAUUGAUCCAAUGAAAAUGGCCAUUAGGAAAAAAAAAAUCAAUCCUCGAUUUUAAGUCCCUUUUCUCUGGAUCCUCCCAGCCUAGAAGGUGUCCCCACAGCCAAAACUGCUCGCUGGGUUUGUGUUUUGUUAAUCUUAAAAUAAAAAAGUAAUCAUCAUCCGGUUUUGAAAUGGGGAUACAGUUGGGGGGGGGGGCAGAUAAUUCCAUUUGAUUUUUUUUCUUUCAGCAAAACUUAUGACCAACCCCAACCUCCCCCGCCCCCCUUCCUUUCCCUCCCGUCCCUCCCCUCCCCACCGUGUUUGUCCAUCCGGAAGGAACACUAUGCUUUGUUACUGCUACUUCAUUUAGCUUUCACAAACACUUUGACGCCAGAAGUUAUCAUAAAAUGUUUACAGACUGCACAUUUCUCGUAAAAUAAAAUUAAAAAGCACACAGAACCUGUCUUAAAGGGAAAAAAAUCACAAUUCAUUUCUGUCUUUAGGAACCGGAGUAAUUUUUUUCCUCUUUUUUUUUCUUUUUUUUUUUCUUUUUUUCUUUUUUU